CGCACAUUGCGCCCAUUAGUAUUCUAGCGGGCAUGCCUGUUCGAGCGUCAUUUCAAACUUCAAGCUUUGCUUGGUAUUGAAGUUAGCGGUUUUCGCGGCUUCCAAAACUAUUGGCAGAUCUACGAUGAUCUAGACUUAGUAAUAUAUCUAGUCUGUGAUUCCUUGUACGGUUUUGCCUUGAAGUCUGUCCAGUUUUCCUGGAAGAAUUUUAUCAGUUUGACCUCGGAUCAGGUAGGAAUACCCGCUGAACUUAA
rnacentral:misc_RNA from 1 species